CUUUUUUUUUUUUUUUUUUUUUAGAUGGAGUUUCGCUGUUGUUGCCCAGGCUGGAGUGCAAUGGCACGAUCUUGGUUCACUGCAACCUCUGCCUCCUGGGUUCAAGCGAUUCUCCUGCCUCAGACUCCUGAGUAGCUGAGAUUACAGGCGCACACCACCACGCCUAGUUAACGUUUUGUAUUUUUAGUAGAAACAGGGUUUCACCAUGUUAGCCAGACUGGUCUCAAACUCUUGACCUCAGGUGUUCCACCCGCCUCGCCCUCCCAAAGUGCUGGCAUUACAGGCGUGAGCCACCGAGCCCAGCCCGAAAGUGUUCUGUCUCUAGCCACUAGUCACGGGUGGCUUGUUGAACACUUGAAAUAAGGCUAGUGCGACUGCUGAUGUGGCUUCUAAUUUUAGCUAAUAGCCACACAUGGCUCGUGGCCACUGUACUGGAUGGCACAGUGGCCUUGGGUUGUUCUUACCUGAGCAGCAGAAGGCUUUCUGAGGAACUGGAGCUUGGAUUGUGUGAGAUGGUCCGAGAAUUAGAGGGGCCUGUACCACUGCCCCCUUCCCCACAUGCUUAGACUGCGACUCUACUGUACCUAUGCCUUCUCCCGGAGGCGAUGAGCUCACCUUAGUUCUUAGAGCUUCAAUUCUUGAAUGCUGCAAGCCUGCCUGAGGUUGGCUUCCUGUUACCCUGUGGAUAAACUCUAGGCUCCUAAUGCCCUUUUUGAUAGAUCUCACCUCUCUCUUCGUUACUCAUUACUUUCCCCAUCACUCUCUGACUGCCCAUGACAUGGAAAGAUUUGCAAUUUCAAGAACAGGCUGUUCUUACCUCUAGACCUAUGCAAAUCGGACACUCUCCACCUGAAAUGCUCUAUCCCUUUCGUGCACCUGUCUGACUCCUACAUGUCCUCUAGGUCUCAGGUUAUAUCUCAAUUUCUGCACCACCUCCUCUGGGAAAGGUUUCCUUGACCUCUCCUAGGACAGAUGGGUGCCUUUACCUACUAUGUGUACUGAGUGGAUUCCCAUCACAGCACACUUGAUUGAAACUGCUUAUUUACCUACGAGUCCCUCUUCCUGCCCUAGAGCUUCUUAAAGGGUGGUCCCUCUACUGGCAGCACUGGCAUCACCUGGGAACUUGAUGGAAAUGAAGAGUCUUAGACCCCAGCCCAGUCCUCCUGAAUCAGAAGUCCUGAGCAUAGGGACUAGCAAUUUGUCCUCAACAAGCCCACCAGAGGAUUUUUCAUAUGUGCUAAAGUUUGAAAGCCAUUGGGCUGAACUCUUAGCCCCAUGAAGGUAGGAUCCGUGAUUUUUGGUUUGCCACUGUCCCUAGCUUUUAGCACACUGCCUGGCUAGAUACU
rnacentral:lncRNA from 1 species